rnacentral:rRNA from 1 species
AAGUUACUUUCGGGUAACAGAGACCGGCGUACGGGUGCGUAACGCGUAUACAAUCUGCCUUUCACUGGGGGAUAGCCCGAAGAAAUUUGGAUUAAUACCCCAUAGUAUAGUARURUGGCAUCRYRCAACUAUUAAAGCYYUGGUGGUGAAAGAUGAGUAUGCGUUCUAUUAGCUAGUUGGAGAGGUAACGGCUCCCCAAGGCGAUGAUAGAUAGGGGUUCUGAGAGGGAUGUCCCCCACACUGGUACUGAGAUACGGACCAGACUCCUACGGGAGGCAGCAGUGAGGAAUAUUGGACAAUGGUCGGAAGACUGAUCCAGCCAUGCCGCGUGCAGGAUGAAGGUCUUAUGGAUUGUAAACUGCUUUUGUAAGGGAAGAAUAAGGAGUACGAGUACUUUGAUGACGGUACCUUAUGAAUAAGCAUCGGCUAACUCCGUGCCAGCAGCCGCGGUAAUACGGAGGAUGCGAGCGUUAUCCGGAAUCAUUGGGUUUAAAGGGUCUGUAGGCGGGCUGGUAAGUCAGAGGUGAAAGCGCUUAGCUCAACUAAGCAACUGCCUUUGAAACUGUUGGUCUUGAAUGGUUGUGAAGUAGUUGGAAUGUGUAGUGUAGCGGUGAAAUGCUUAGAUAUUACACAGAACACCGAUAGCGAAGGCAUAUUACUAACAAUU